AUUGAACGCUGGCGGCAUGCCUUACACAUGCAAGUCGAACGGUAACGCGGGGCAACCUGGCGACGAGUGGCGAACGGGUGAGUAAUGCAUCGGAACGUGCCCAGUAGUGGGGGAUAACUGCUCGAAAGAGCAGCUAAUACCGCAUACGACCUGAGGGUGAAAGCGGGGGAUCGCAAGACCUCGCGCUAUUGGAGCGGCCGAUGUCAGAUUAGGUAGUUGGUGGGGUAAAGGCCCACCAAGCCAACGAUCUGUAGCUGGUCUGAGAGGACGACCAGCCACACUGGGACUGAGACACGGCCCAGACUCCUACGGGAGGCAGCAGUGGGGAAUUUUGGACAAUGGACGCAAGUCCGAUCCAGCCAUGCCGCGUGCGGGAAGAAGGCCUUCGGGUUGUAAACCGCUUUUGUCAGGGAAGAAACGCUCUGGGUUAAUACCUCGGGGUAAUGACGGUACCUGAAGAAUAAGCACCGGCUAACUACGUGCCAGCCGCCGCAGUAACAC
rnacentral:rRNA from 1 species